GACGAACGCUGGCGGCGUGCUUAACACAUGCAAGUCGAACGGAAAGUGCCCAGCUUGCUGGGUGACUCGAGUGGCGAACGGGUGAGUAACACGUGGGUGAUCUGCCCUGCACUCUGGGAUAAGCCUGGGAAACUGGGUCUAAUACCGAAUAUUCCUUGCUGGUCGCAUGGCCUGGUGGGGGAAAGCUUUUGCGGUGUGGGAUGGGCCCGCGGCCUAUCAGCUUGUUGGUGGGGUGAUGGCCUACCAGGGCGACGACGGGUAGCCGGCCUGGGAGGGGAGCCGGCCACACUGGGACUGAGAUACGGCCCAGACUCCUACGGGGGGCAGCAGUGGGGAAUAUUGCACAAUGGGCGCAAGCCUGAUGCAGCGACGCCGCGUGAGGGAUGACGGCCUUCGGGUUGUAAACCUCUUUCAAUAGGGACGAAGCGCAAGUGACGGUACCUAGAGAAGAAGCACCGGCCAACUACGUGCCAGCAGCCGCAGUAAAAC
rnacentral:rRNA from 1 species